rnacentral:lncRNA from 1 species
GCUCACUCUAUAUUCACCAAAAGAAAUCACACUGAUUAUUGUGGUUGAAUAAAAUAAAUUGGGAAAAGAUAGAAAUCAUUCUGAAAUUUUUCAGUGCCGGAGACGUCUCUGGCAAAUCACAGAGACGUCCCCCCGGCGAGACGUCUCGCAUUAGUCACGGAGACGUCUCAGGGACCGAAUGAAAGUUUUUAAAUUAGGUCGAAACAGCUCGAGCCGUCCCGAGCUGCCUUCCUUCGUCCCCAACGAAAACAUAAACCCUAGCCUCCAUUUUCUCUCCACCACAAACCGAACCAAAAUCUCUCCCCAUUUUCCUAGAUUUCCAAUCCAUGGCACCUAAGAAAGCUAGGCGAACGGGUGGGAGGCGUCCUAGGGUAGCGAACGACG